AAGCUAAACGUGCUGAGAAAUAGUUUGGUGCCACUGGCUGCAAUUAUGGAAAACACAACGAACGGCAGAGAUUCAUUCUAGAGACAGUGGAAGAUCCCAGUACUUUAUUACCAUUAUUAGCAGAUGGAGCUAAUUAUUAUUACCAUUAACGCGGAUGGAGCGCGCCGCAGAGGCACGGGGAGCAGCAGCAGCCGAACCCUGGCAGGGCUAACGGGCAGGCACCGGGGGCAGCAGGACGAAAAGGACAGCAGGGCUGCUCAGAAGCACGCCGGCACCCUCCGGGAGGUCGUCUCGUGGCAGCAGGAGGCGGCCCGGUACCACAGGCCAGAGGCGCCGCCAUGUGCCCUCCUGCCCGCUCCCAGCCACAGGUGAGCGCAAACUCUCACCCAUCUCCAUGGUGAGCUGCUUCGUGGAGCAAGGCCAGCUGGAAACGUAUUUUUGGAAGGUUGUGUUGCAGCCAGUUUAGCUUCCUGAGCUGCCUCCCUGCUGGCCCGGUGACAGGGCUGGCGAAACAGAGAGGAGGCAGGAAUGUGCGGGGAGAGCAAGACUAUUGCUGGCUGCUCUCGGAGCUCAGCUGGAGCGUCACGCCGAAUCCCAGCUUCGUUAGCACAAUCUGACCACAGAUAAAGUGCCUUUCGUCCCUCCUCCUGCUAAAGUGUACCUCAUCUCUGAUAAAUGUAAGUGAAAUACAUUUACUGCUACACAAGCAAAAAAAUAGUAAGAAAACCACUUACACGCCUACAUUUCCACUGUCUUAGGCUGUGCUUCUUAGAAAUGCUCCUCGAGUUAGCCAUCGCUCCCAUACAUCACUAUUUCACUGAUAGCUGGCCUGGGUUAAAAAUGAUCGUUUUCCUUGCUGGGCUAUUCUUAAUCUGCACCAGCUUCCCGAUCAGGUUGGCCACGUGAGCACACAAGCAGAAGACAGGGGGUGGCACUGCUUAUCCCAACAGCACCCCAAGGCUUUGAAACACUCCUGAAACUACACCCACAGAUACACCUUUGUAGUUACCCUACUCUGUGUUGCGCUUAAAUAAGCGAUCAUACCUUGCUCUCAGUGUGAAGUCAGGGGAACAGAGAUGAACUCGGAUCGAGGCAGUCUGUUAACGGGCAACAUGAAUAAAGUCACGGUUCUGACCCAUCUGUGGGACUCGGUUGAAUUUUAAAGCAGCCACAACAAGGAAAACGGAUACCCUCCCGAUACGACAAUAUUCUGUAAGAUGACAGGUAACUUUAUUUACUGAAUUUAAACAGCCAAUUUGCUGCUUCAGGGGAUUCCAAGUCCAUCCAAAGCAUGAUAUAAAAACCAAUUAUUCAUAGAUUUUUACAUCUACGGCACCAUGAUUGUGUGGGUGAAACCUUGGGUCUCUAACAAAGUAGCACAGUUGUUUAAAAAAAAAAAAACACGGCAUGUAAAAUAUUUUGGCAUGAAAACAUUUAAAUAAAAAGCCCACAAAGCCUGCUGGCACUUACUUUGACAAGAAUGGAAAUAAAAAUAACUCACUCAAUUCUAGGAACUAGAUUUGUAUUUUAACUUUAAUUUCUAAGAUUCAAUAUCAUAAACUAGUCUUCCACUACAGAUGAAUGGAAGCAAAACUGAUUCAAACAGAUAUUUAAUUGACUUCUAGACUCCCUUCCAGAAUUGCUUACUCCCUUCUAGAGUUACUCUCUAGGUGAAAACUCAAAGCAGUAAAACAUCUAUACAAAGAUUUGCCUUGUAAUAUUUCUCUGCUCCAGCAUCUUAACAAAUAUUUCUUUUAACUAAGGAAAAAUAAUUUGUUACUGUUGUUGAUAUUCAAACUCCUGUGAAGUACGUAAAGAAUCUUCUCACUCCUUACAACACAUUGCAACUGCUCAGGAAAGCCCUGGGAACAAUAUGCAAACAAACCAGCAAAACCCCAAGCCAGUUUUUUUGGUGCAUUUUGUUGGCUUUCCGUAGGCAAGGUAUGGGGGCAGAGUUUCCAACAUGCUAUUGAGAGCAGAGAAAUACAUUUGCCUAUCUUUUUGAAAUAAAAACAAUUUCUCUUAAGAAAAGUUCACAGGGUAACAGUUCUGGAGGCAAAUCCAGAUCUGUCACAUACCCAGAAGACGACUACACGUCCUCAAAGAUCAGCUUUCAAAGGUAGCGGGCUAAAACAAUAUAAAAAAUUAAUAAUUUAACUAUAUAGAAAAGAACUAGCCAGUUUGGGUAAAAAUGUAAAACUCAGCUAGAGAGACUGACAGCUGACAGCCUCUCACCAGCAGCCUGGUGCAAGCUCAGGAGUGAUGCUUUACUCACCAUCUCCAGCUGACAGGUACAGAAAUCCAAUGCUUGACAUGCUAGGAAAAAAGGUUUUUUACGUAAUACUUUCUCAGCACACCAGAAUUCCAAAACCAGCUCAGCUGAAACAGCGUUUUCCACAGAGAGGAUUUGUUUUUACUGGUUUUAACAAAAUGCAGCAGGUUAAAAGGUAUUUCUGAGGAACUAUUGCAUAUGUAUUGUACUAGCUGAACACUGCCACCUGAGACCCCUGCACGUUGUUAUAUUUUGUGGAGAAACACGGUAAUGACUGCUGAGGUGCUCUCCUGUGUUCAGAAGAGAUGUGGGACACUGCCAGAUCCCCGAGCUGUCCUAUCCUUAGCAGGAAAAAAGAGCAAUAUGAAUGGCAGAACAGAUGUUGUAACAUGUGAUUAACAUCACAAGCUUGUCCAGUGAUCCUGCGCAAACCAUGGGGUUUCUGUUGUCUUCAAGCAACAGGGACAGACGGGACAUUUCUGGGGAGAACAGAGGAACAAAAUUCCUGUGAAAUUCUGCAUCCAAGACCACCCCUUAGUAAACCUACAAGUCAGCAUCAAGAAUUCAAGUUUUGCAUAAUAAUCACUCCAUCAUUCUGAACUUAACAGUGAGAAGAAAUUGCACAGGUAAUUUUGCAUCUUAUACUACUCUGCACAUCAAGGCAACAGUACCAAUGCGGGCAGACAGAACAGGAGCAGGUUGAAAAUUACCAAAAGCACAUCUGUUUUACCAGUAGCAACAAAUAUCUAUACUGAAAAGGAGCAAAAAGGUUAAAGGAGGUGUUUCUUCUUCUACUACAAGCAAAUACUCAUGUUGAUAAGGGUCACGUUUUAUAUCAAAGAUUUUAAUGUUACAGGCAGACAUUUUUCAAAAGAA